UACGUAGGGUGCAAGCGUUAAUCGGAAUUACUGGGCGUAAAGCGCGCGUAGGCGGCUUUGUAAGUUAGAGGUGAAAGCCCGGAGCUCAACUCCGGAACUGCCUUUAAAACUGCAUCGCUUGAAUCCAGGAGAGGUGAGUGGAAUUCCGAGUGUAGAGGUGAAAUUCGUAGAUAUUCGGAAGAACACCAGUGGCGAAGGCGGCUCACUGGACUGGUAUUGACGCUGGAGGUGGCGAAAGCGUGGGGAGCAAACACGG
rnacentral:rRNA from 1 species